UGGGGAAUUUUGGACAAUGGGCGCAAGCCUGAUCCAGCCAUGCCGCGUGCGGGAAGAAGGCCUUCGGGUUGUAAACCGCUUUUGUCAGGGAAGAAAUCUUCUGAGUUAAUACCUCGGGAGGAUGACGGUACCUGAAGAAUAAGCACCGGCUAACUACGUGCCAGCAGCCGCGGUAAUACGUAGGGUGCAAGCGUUAAUCGGAAUUACUGGGCGUAAAGCGUGCGCAGGCGGUUUUGUAAGACAGAGGUGAAAUCCCCGGGCUCAACCUGGGAACUGCCUUUGUGACUGCAAGGCUUGAGUGCGGCAGAGGGGGAUGGAAUUCCGCGUGUAGCAGUGAAAUGCGUAGAUAUGCGGAGGAACACCGAUGGCGAAGGCAAUCCCCUGGGCCUGCACUGACGCUCAUGCACGAAAGCGUGGGGAGCAAACAGGAUUAGAUACCCUGGUAGUCCACGCCCUAAACGAUGUCAACUGGUUGUUGGGAAGGUUCCUUCUCAGUAACGUAGCUAACGCGUGAAGUUGACCGCCUGGGGAGUACGGCCGCAAGGUUGAAACUCAAAUGAAUUGACGGGGUC
rnacentral:rRNA from 1 species